AGCUGAGGCUAAGGAGUGGGAGGUAGGAGGGCUCACAGGGGUCAGGUUCAGUCCUCACUGUCGCCUCUUUCUUCCACUGCAGAAAGUGCUUCCUCUGAUCCCACCCCGGGGGCUGCGGCCACUGAACCUGAAGGGACUACAUCUGCUGCAAAACCUGCUUCACCCCAAGAGCCAGCCCAGGAGCCACAUGGUGCCACCCCAAGUCCAGAAGAGCUAAACCCACUGAGACAUGGCUUAGAAAGAGCAAAAAAAGCAAUGCAUAAAAGACUUCAGUUUAGAGGACGUCUUUAUGAGGAUGUAGCUGAAUGGGACAAAAAUCUGAAAAACUUGGCUGCAAAACUCAAUGUAGUUGCAGUCUGAGAAGCUGAAAAGAAUGGGGUCCCUGGACUCAAAGCCUUAAACAUGCUUGCAGCCCAGCAUGAUUAAACUGAAGCAUCCAACUCGCUGUGUGUCUGUGUUCUGUGGGGUGGGUCCUGGAGGAGAUGGAGAGCAAAGCCCUACCUAGAAAGCCAAGAGGCCCUGGGUGUCCUGACCCGGGCCCUCGGCCAGUCACAGCCUG